AUGGCGCUCUCUAAAACUCAAGGAAGACCCCGGUGGAAAACUUUCCUCUUCAGUUUUGUAGCGGCGGCCGUCGGGAUGAAGUUACGCGCCGGCACGCCGCCCGUCCUGUACUCGUACGCGUCGAUGCAGCAGCGGAGCGGCGGCGGUGUGAGGUGUCGCGAGUGCAUUGCCGUGCUGGGCGCCGCCGCCUUGGUGGUGCUCGUCGUCACCCACGCGCUCCUCCCGGGGGCCAGGUUGGGGGACCUGGGCGACGUUGUUAGCCCGGUGCUCCGUCUCCGGAGAGCCAGGCGAGAGGAGGUGCCGUCGUCGGAGAAGACGGUAGGGGAAAUCGGCGACGAGGCCGAUGGGUUCCUGUGGAGCAACGCCAUGCUGCAGUGGCAGCGCACCGGGUACCAUUUCCAGCCGGAGAAGAACUACAUGAACGAUCCAAACGCUCCGAUGUACUACCGUGGAUGGUACCACUUCUUCUACCAGUACAACCCGAAGGGCGUCACGUGGGGCAACAUCUCGUGGGGCCACGCCGUGUCGCGGGACAUGGUCCACUGGCACCACCUACCCCUUGCUAUGGUGCCCGACCGAUGGUACGACAUCAAAGGCGUUUUGACGGGCUCCGCCACCGUACUUCCCGAUGGCAAAGUCGUCCUGCUCUACACGGGGAACACCGACACCCUUGCCCAGGUACAGUGCCUUGCCGUACCUGCUGACCCUCAUGAUCCUCUCCUUCGUACUUGGACCAAGCACCCUGCCAACCCUGUGCUCCUUCCGCCCCCCGAGACCGGCAAAAAGGACUUUCGCGACCCCAUGACAGCAUGGUUUGAUAAGUCCGACAACACAUGGCGCACCAUGAUCGGGUCCAAGGAUGACAACGGUCAUGCUGGCGUCGCCCUCAUGUACAAGACAAAAGACUUUGUCAAGUUCGAGCUCAUCCCACGCCCGGUCCACCGCGUCGAGGGCACCGGCAUGUGGGAGUGCGUCGACUUCUACCCUGUGGGCAACCGCAACUCAUCACAGGAAGAGUUGUAUGUGCUGAAGGCGAGCAUGGACGAUGAACGACAUGACUACUACGCAUUGGGAAGGUACGACGCAGUGACCAACACAUGGACGCCGCUGGACCCAGAAACAGAUGUGGGAAUCGGACUAAGGUACGAUUGGGGAAAGUUCUUUGCGUCCACGACAUUCUAUGAUCCGACAAAGCGGCGACGCGUGAUGUGGGCGUAUGUUGGUGAGACAGACUCCAACCGGACCGACCUCGCCAAAGGAUGGGCAAACGUCCAGGCGAUUCCGAGGACGGUGGCGCUGGACGAGAAGACCCGGACGAACCUCGUCCAAUGGCCGGUGGAGGAGAUCGAGACCCUCCGCCACAACACCACUGACCUCAGUGGCAUCACCAUCGGCACUGGCUCCGUCAUCCCCUUGCAUCUCUGCCAAGCCGCUCAGCUCGACAUAGAGGCCUCCUUCCGCCUCAACACAUCUGACAUCGCAUCCCACAACGAGGCCGACAUUGGCUACAACUGCAGCACUAGUGGUGGUGCCUCCAAGCGGGGUGCACUUGGCCCCUUCGGCCUCCUCCUCACCAACGGCCGUAGUGAGCAAAUGGCAAUGUACUUCUACGUGUCUAGAAGCCUCGACGGGGGACUCCGGACCCACUUCUGCCAUGACGAGUCACAGUCAUCGCUGGCCAAGAACGUUGUGAAGCGUGUGGUGGGCAGCACUGUUCCGGUGCUCGAGGGCGAGGCUUUAUCCGCUAGGAUUCUUGUGGAUCAUUCCAUUGUGGAGAGCUUUGUGAUGGGUGGGAGGUUGACGGCGACGUCACGGGUUUAUCCCACUGAGGCCAUCUACGAGGCGGCUGGGGUGUAUGUUUUCAACAACGCUACCAGCUCCAGAAUGACCGUCGAGAGGCUCGUGGUGCACGAGAUGCACUCAACACCGAUGCAACGAGAUCUUUAUGCACGAGAUUAA
rnacentral:rRNA from 1 species